rnacentral:rRNA from 1 species
AUGGACCCCUUCUCCGAGAUCACCUUGACGCUUCCUAACCUAUCUUCUUUCUGUCUUGUGGAUGAGCCUGUUGCAAUUAUUAAUGGUCGUGAUGUCCUGGAUGAAGACAUGUCUUGUCCUCUGCUACAGAUGGAUACUGCGAUAUUUCUGCGCAAGGUAAUCAGGUGCUCGGAACUCCUUGUUGCUGCCAUCGUUGAAAUUGGGCCUCUUUUCACUGUUGCGUACUGCCAACCGGGUUCAACCUCAUGGUUGGUGAGUGAACUUGGCAGCAUAGGGUCGGUCAUAGACAUGAUGUUCUAUGAAGGUGGCAUCUCUUACUUCGAGUCGUAUCUAGUUGAAUCUCAUGGUGCACUACUGCUGGUACAGAGAACAAUAUUUGGUGAAUGUGAUAAUGACACGAUUGGUGGUAUCAAGCCAGUAGGGAUUGAAUUUGAGGUGUGUCAGUCAGACUUCCAGUCUCGAAGUUGGGAGAAGGUGAGCAGUGUUGGGGGUGACCAGACAUUGUUCGUCAGCCAAAGUUCAUCCCAAUCUGUUGACGUGUCUCAGUACAAGCUGAAGGGGGAUUGCAUCUACUUCCUGGAUGAUGGCAGCUGUGACUGGUUCUGGAAGGAUGCGCCAAGUUCUUGUGCCGUAUAUGACAUGCGAGAUGGAAACUGUUUCUUCAUACCACUGCCGACAGUAGCAUGCAAGGACGUCAAAAUGCUAGCGGCGUGGCUUUUCCCUCAGAACUGA